UUGAAACAUUGUGAAGGAGGUUGAGCUGGCUACUCGCAAGUGCUCACCUUCUUUCAAUCUCUUCAUCCACCUGUGCACCUUAUGUAGGGGUUACGGAGAGCUGGUUUUGCCGGUUUUCUGUGAUUCUCUAUGUUUUUACAAACUCUAAAUGUAUGUCUAUGAAUGUUAUCUAGGGACUUUAUUGACCCUAUAAAGUUAUA
rnacentral:misc_RNA from 1 species